rnacentral:rRNA from 1 species
CAACAGGGAUUGCCUCAGUAACGGCGAGUGUAGCGGCAAGAGCUCACAUUUGAAAGCUGGCCCCUUCGGGGUCCGCGUUGUAAUUUGCAGAGGAUGCUUCGGGUGCAGCCCCCGUCUAAGUGCCCUGGAACGGGCCGUCAUAGAGGGUGAGAAUCCCGUCUGGGACGGGGUGUCUGCGUCCGUGUGAAGCUCCUUCGACGAGUCGAGUUGUUUGGGAAUGCAGCUCUAAAUGGGUGGUAAAUUUCAUCUAAAGCUAAAUACUGGCCGGAGACCGAUAGCGCACAAGUAGAGUGAUCGAAAGAUGAAAAGCACUUUGAAAAGAGAGUUAAACAGCACGUGAAAUUGUUGAAAGGUUAGCGUUUGCGACCAGACUCGCCCGCGGGGUUCAGCCGGCAUUCGUGCCGGUGUACUUCCCCGUGGGCGGGCCAGCGUCGGUUUGGGCGGCCGGUCAAAGGCCCUCGGAAUGUAUCUCCUCUCGGGGUGGCUUAUAGCCGAGGGUGCAAUGCGGCCUGCCUGGACCGAGGAACGCGCUUCGGCUCGGACGCUGGCGUAAUGGUCGUAAAUGAC